rnacentral:rRNA from 1 species
UGGUGGAGUGAUUUGUCUGGUUAAUUCCGUUAACGAACGAGACCUCAGCCUGCUAAAUAGUGGCUAGAGUCAUCUGUAUGGGUGAAGGGUUGGCGGCGCAGGGGUCUCGGCUCUCUGCUCGACGGCUUUGGAUCCCUGAUGGUCUUUCGUACGCUUCUUAGAGGGACUACUUGCGUUUAGCAAGGGGAAGUUUGAGGCAAUAACA